rnacentral:rRNA from 1 species
UACGGAGGGGCGAGCGUUAUUCGGAAUUAUUGGGCGUAAAGGGCGCGUAGGCGGCUGUACAAGUCAAAGGUGAAAUCCCUCGGCUCAACUGAGGAACUGCCUUUGAAACUGUACGGCUUGAGGCCGGGAGGGGGUAGCGGAAUUCCCAGUGUAGCGGUGAAAUGCGUAGAUACUGGGAGGAACACCAGUGGCGAAGGCGGCUACCUGGACCGGUUCUGACGCUGAGGCGCGAAAGCGUGGGGAGCAAACAGG